CCUACGGGAGGCAGCAGUAAGGAAUAUUGGUCAAUGGACGCAAGUCUGAACCAGCCAUGCCGCGUGAAGGAUUAAGGCCCUCUGGGUUGUAAACUUCUUUUAUAGGGGACGAAAAAAGGGCAUUCUUGCUCACUUGACGGUACCCUAGGAAUAAGCACCGGCUAACUCCGUGCCAGCAGCCGCGGUAAUACGGAGGGUGCAAGCGUUAUCCGGAUUUACUGGGUUUAAAGGGUGCGUAGGUGGGUUGGUAAGUCAGUGGUGAAAUCUUCGAGCUUAACUCGGAAACUGCCAUUGAUACUAUCAAUCUUGAAUCAUCUAGAGGUAAGCGGAAUAUGUCAUGUAGCGGUGAAAUGCUUAGAUAUGACAUAGAACACCAAUUGCGAAGGCAGCUUACUAUGGAUGCAUUGACACUGAGGCACGAAAGCGUGGGGAUCAAACAGGAUUAGAUACCCUGGUAGUCCACGCCCUAAACGAUGGAUACUCGACAUUUGUGAUAUACAAUAAGUGUCUGAGCGAAAGCAUUAAGUAUCCCACCUGGAAGUACGACCGCAAGGUUGAAACUCAAAGGAAUUGACGGCUGAGAGAGCGACGACGACGACGAGGGAGGAGG
rnacentral:rRNA from 1 species